UGAGGAAUAUUGGUCAAUGGGCGGAAGCCUGAACCAGCCAUCCCGCGUGCAGGAAGACGGCCCUAUGGGUUGUAAACCGCUUUUCCAGGGGGAGAAACUUUCCGAUGAAUCGGGAUUUGACGGUACCCUGGGAAUCAGCAUCGGCUAACUCCGUGCCAGCAGCCGCGGUAAUACGGAGGAUACGAGCGUUAUCCGGAUUUAUUGGGUUUAAAGGGUGCGUAGGCGGAUCGAUAAGUCAGUGGUGAAAACCUGCAGCUUAACUGUAGACUUGCCGUUGAUACUGUUGGUCUUGAGUAUGGUCAAGGUAGGCGGAAUGUGUAAUGUAGCGGUGAAAUGCUUAGAUAUUACACAGAACACCGAUUGCGAAGGCAGCUUACUGGACCAUCACUGACGCUGAUGCACGAAAGCGUGGGGAUCGAACAG
rnacentral:rRNA from 1 species